rnacentral:rRNA from 1 species
AACGAACGCUGGCGGCAUGCCUAACACAUGCAAGUCGAACGAGAUCUUCGGGUCUAGUGGCGCACAGGUGCGUAACGCGUGAGAAUCUGCCCUUUGGUUCGGAAUAACAGUUGGAAACGACUGCUAAUACCGGAUGAUGACGAAAGUCCAAAGAUUUAUCGCCAGAGGAUGAGCCCGCGUAGGAUUAGCUAGUUGGUGGGGUAAAGGCGCACCAAGGCGACGAUCCUUAGCUGGUCUGAGAGGAUGAUCAGCCACACUGGGACUGAGACACGGCCCAGACGCCUACGGGAGGCAGCAGUGGGGAAUAUUGGACAAUGGGCGAAAGCCUGAUCCAGCAAUGCCGCGGGAGUGAUGAAGGCCUUAGGGUUGUAAAGCUCUUUUACCCGGGAUGAUAAUGACAGUACCGGGAGAAUAAGCUCCGGCUAACUCCGUGCCAGCCGCCGCCGUAA